UGGGAUAUGAUUUGAGAGGUACCAGACCUGUGUCCAGAUUUUGCUGCUUUGUUUCUAUGCCUGGAGUUCCAUCUGUUGUACCUGGUGUCUACUCUAAACUUCUGUCCUAAACAUAAAGGUACUGCAAGAGGUAAAAUAUUAAAGAGGUAAAAUAUUAAGGAGGUAGGAAGAUUAGGGAGCUCACUUUGGGUGGAAAGAGGGAAAGGUAUGUACCAUCCAUUUUCUUUGGGCAGUUUGAUAAGACUUCUGCUAAAACUCUACUAUAAAUCUCAACUUUUCCUUUCCUCCCUCCCUUCAUUCCUUUUUUCCUUUCUUUUCAAAAAGGAUCAGAGCAAUUUUAGAGAUUUGACUUCAUUUCUGGGGAUGGAUAUAGAAACAAGCUUAGGAAGUGGAGAACUAAAGAAGGAAAGGGAGAAAGCUUAGCUUAACUCACAUUUUUGUCUGGGAUCAUUAAUAGUCAUAAAGAUACCUAGGAAAUUUAGAUAAUAAAGAACCCUCAUUGCAUGCACAUUUUCUUAACGAAUUUAGUUUUUUCUCCUGUACUAAACUCUGUAUCACCUUUGUUAUGUUUAUAUAAAAUCUUUAUAAUUUCGUUAGAAGUCCUUUGACUUGAUCUUUAGUUGAAGUUUUCUGGACAUUCUUACAUUUCUUUUGGUCACCCUGGAAAACUUCAACAAUUAAUUUUUAAACUUUUAAAUUCUGGCUACAGAUAGCUCAUUUUAUGAGUAAUUUGAAUUGAGAGAAAAUUGAGUGUUUAUUCUCUUCCACAUUUAAAUGUUCUGUUCUUGCCUGAAAGUAAGGUAGACUUGGUGAAUUUUUAUGUUACUGCCAAACAUGUCUUUGGAAAGAUUAUUCACAAGUAAAUGAUACUUUUUUAUGGUUGUGUUUGGGUAUAAGUGUUCCUGCGAUCAGUAGUAUAUGAGAGAAGGAUCAGAAACUGCAUUUUUAGAUGGGCCUCCUAAGUUGCAGGGCUUCAUUUUGGCUGCUGGCAGGAGACCCUCUGAAGGGACCUAUGACACUGAUCCUUAGGUUGACAGCAGAGUCUCCUGUUUAUAAUUUUGAGUAGGAAUUUUGGAUUACUGCUCCAUGCCUCCACCUACUGGUAGGGAUGGCUCUUCGUUUUCUGAAGACAACGGUUGGAGGGAGGAGAGGACAAAGGCAGGCCAUAAUUUGGGAAAGAAAAUAAGUUGUUAACUGGAUAAGUAAAAUUCAGCAAUGUCUGCUCUAUUUCUCCGAGUCUUGAGUAGACCCAAUUUUAUCUCAGGACCACAUACAGUACUUGGCAAACGAUGCUUAAUAAAGAUGCGGUAGUCUUGCUUCAGUAUUAAUUGUUUCCAUUUAUUGAGUACCUCCUAUGUGCCAGAUACUGUAAUGGAUUUUUUUUUCUAAGUCUAGUUUUGGUAUUUUCAUUUUUGUGUUCCCUGUGAUAUAUGGAGUUCCUGGGCCAGGGAUCAGAUUCGAGCUGCAGUUGCGACCUACACUGCAUUUGCAGCAGCACUGGAUCCUUUAACCCAUCAUGCCAGGCUGGGAAUCAAACCUGCGUCUUGGUACUGCAGAGAUGCCACCAAUCCUGUUGCCCCAUAGCAGGAACUCCAUGUUCUUUACCUUUGUGUGUGUGUGUUUUAAGGCCGCACACAGGUCAUAUGGAAGUCGAGUCGGCGCUGUAGCCACUGGCCAUGGCCACAGCAAUGCCAGAUCUGAGCUGUGUGUGCAACCUGCAUCACAGCUCAAGGCAAUUGGGUUAAGGAUCCUGCGUUGCCAUGAGCUGUGGUGUAGGUUGCAGAUGUGGCUGGGAUCCCGCGUUGCUGUGGCUCUGGCAUAGGCCGGCGGCUACAGCUCUGACUCAACCCCUAGCCUGGGAACCUCCAUAUGCCACGGGAACGGCCCAAGAAAUGGCAAAAAGACAAAACAAACAAACAAACAAACAAAAAAACUUAGGAAGUUAAUACUUUUGCCUGAUAGUUUACUUUUGGGAAUCUAUCCUGAGAAAAUAACUAGAAAUGAAGACUAAUGAUCUUCAAGGAUAUUCAUCACGUAUUUAUCACUGUGAAAAAUUGAAAGCAAAUCAAAUGGUUAAAUAAAUUAUGGUGUUUUUUUAUUGAGCAUAUAGUAUUUUUAUAUUGUAUGACUAUGAAAAUACUUUGAGGAAUUUAAAGUAUAUGUAAUAUAAAUAGUGUACAAACGGCCAAGUUUUAGUAUUUCUUAUUAUUUCUGUAUUAUGUACCCACUAAAAUACUUUGAAGAACUUGAAGAAUAUUUAAUUGCAAGAAGAGGUGCCUACAACAACAUUAAACAAAAAAAUCCCCAGGGUAUCUACAGAUUUAUCCAAAUUUUGUUUAAAAGUAAAUCACAAAGUAUUUACAUAUAUACACACCAUGCAUGCUUGCAAAAGGAAAAAAAAAAAAGAAAAAGAAAAAA
ensembl:lncRNA